AACGAACGCUGGCGGCAUGCCUAACACAUGCAAGUCGAACGAGACCUUCGGGUCUAGUGGCGCACGGGUGCGUAACGCGUGGGAACCUGCCCUUAGGUUCGGAAUAACUCCCCGAAAGGGGUGCUAAUACCGGAUAAUGUCUUCAGACCAAAGAUUUAUCGCCCUUGGAUGGGCCCGCGUUGGUUUAGCUAGUUGGUAGGGUAAAAGCCUACCAAGGCGACGAUCCAUAGCUGGUCUGAGAGGAUGAUCAGCCACACUGGGACUGAGACACGGCCCAGACUCCUACGGUAGGCAGCAGUGGAGAAUAUUGGACAACGGGCGAAAGCCUGAUCCAGCAAUCCCGCGUGAGUUAUGAAGGCCUUAGGGUUGUAAAGCUCUUUUACCCGGGAUGAUAAUGACAGUACCGGGAGAAUAAGCUCCGGCUAACUCCGUG
rnacentral:rRNA from 1 species